UACGGGGGGAGCAAGCGUUGUUCGGAUUUACUGGGCGUAAAGGGCGCGUAGGCGGCCACCGCAAGUCGGUUGUGAAAUCUCUGGGACUUAACCCAGAAAGGUCAACCGAUACUGCGGGGCUAGAGUGCAGAAGGGGCAACUGGAAUUCUCGGUGUAGCGGUGAAAUGCGUAGAUAUCGAGAGGAACACCUGCGGCGAAGGCGGGUAGCUGGGCCGACACUGACGCUGAGGCGCGAAAGCCAGGGGAGCGAACGGG
rnacentral:rRNA from 1 species